rfam:Tupaia chinensis contig11957, whole genome shotgun sequence.
UGGCCGUUAAAGAACAGAAACAGAGCAAUAAGCCUCCGCGGCCACAUUUUCCCAGUGCCGCCAACUGGGAGUUAAGCUGACUAAGUUUUGAAAGCCCAGCCCAUUUCAUUCUCAGCAGGAUGGCAGG